rnacentral:rRNA from 1 species
GACGAACGCUGGCGGCGUGCCUAACACAUGCAAGUCGAGCGAAGAAUACAUAAAGAAAUCUUCGGAUGGAAUUAUGUAUUUCUUAGCGGCGGACGGGUGAGUAACGCGUGAGGAACCUGCCUUGUACUAGGGGAUAGCCUCGGGAAACCGGGAUUAAUACCCUAUGACACUUGAAAGUCGCAUGACUUUCAAGUCAAAGCGAUUUAGCGGUACAAGAUGGCCUCGCGUCCCAUUAGCUAGUUGGCGAGGUAAUAGCUCACCAAGGCGACGAUGGGUAGCCGGCCUGAGAGGGUGAACGGCCACACUGGAACUGAGACACGGUCCAGACUCCUACGGGAGGCAGCAGUGGGGAAUAUUGCACAAAUGGAGGAAACUCUGAUGCAGCGACGCCGCGUGAGCGAUGAAGGUUUUCGAAUCGUAAAGCUCUGUCCUAAGGGACGAUAAUGACGGUACCUUAGGGGAAGCCCCGGCUAACUACGUGCCAGCAGCCCGCGGUAAAAUCACGG